rnacentral:misc_RNA from 1 species
CYUAGCYGCUGUUGAAGCUCCAUCUACAAUGGAUAAGACUUUUGUCUUAAUGUAUAUGAAUCUCUGAAGGAAAAUAUCUUAUAAUGAUGAAUGGAAAAAARAGAAAAUCCUUCCCCUUUAUAUUUUUCGGAUGUAUGAAGUGGAUCAAGGGAUUUUUUUGUGAAUCCMCCAUGCGCGCCKGUGUGAAAUUUUWAUUUUUACAUUUUUAARAUUGGCAUUCUAUGUUCAAUAUCUCGAUCUAAUAAGGUAAGAAUAAAUUUAAAUACAAUAAUGAUGAAUGGAAAAAGAGAAAAUCCUUUAGCUAGGGCGGAUGUAGCCAAGUGGAUCAAGGCAGU